CUUGAACGCUGGCGGCAGGCCUAACACAUGCAAGUCGAACGAGUGGCGGACGGGUGAGUAAUGUCUGGGAAACUGCCCGAUGGAGGGGGAUAACUACUGGAAACGGUAGCUAAUACCGCAUACCAUCGGAUGUGCCCAGAUGGGAUUAGCUUGUAGGUGGGGUAACGGCUCAACUAGGCGACGAUCCCUAGCUGGUCUGAGCGGAUGACCAGCGACAGGGGAACUGAGACACGGUCCAGACUCCUAGGGGAGGCAGCAGUGGGGAAUAGUGCACAAUGGGCGCAAGCCUGAUGCAGCCAUGGCGCGGGUAGGAAGAAGGCCUUCGGGUUGUAAAGUACUUUCAGCGGGGAGGCGUUACCCGCAGAAGAAGCACCGGCUAACUCCGUGCCAGCAGCCGCGGUAAUAC
rnacentral:rRNA from 1 species